GGCACGCAAUUCAUCCAAAGUGAAAAUACUGUCCCCUAUCCUCAACAAGUCAAGUCCUGUACUGCACUCAAGUCAAGCCUCUGAACACCUCAACUCAUGCCUCAUACCCUCAUUCAAUCACUGCUGUGAACCCUUCCUUAGACGGUAUAGGUUGCCCUCUCAUUCCCUAUAAUAUUGUGCUAUAAAUGUCUUUAUUAAAUGCUUUAUGUUAAAAUAAUUACUCUUUGAAGAUUUUUGAAAUACAUUUUGACAUCUCCGUGCGUUCUGUGCCUAUACCGUGGGUCUCCCAUCCUCCUCAGUUUUUCAAGUCAGCAGACUCCUCUGUAACUAAUGUAACUAAUGUAAAUGUAAAUUAAACACUCCAGUUAAAUUAAACACUCCAAUUAAAUAAUCUAGUGUUUAAUUGCUAAAUUGUAAUUAUUUGGCCACUAUAGCCUAUUUAUUGCCUUACCUCUUUUAUCUUACCUCAUUUGCACACACUGUAUAUAGACUUUUUUCUAUUGUGGUAUUGACUGCAUGUUUGUUUAUUCCAUGUGUAACUCUGUGUAUUGUUGUUUGUGUCGCAC
ensembl:lncRNA